GUCUAAGACCACAAUUCAACUACGAGCGUUUUAACCGCAGCAACUUUAAUAUACGCUAUUGGUAGUUGAAUUGUGGUCUUAGACAACAGUCCCCCUACAUAGGUGUGGCACGGUUGCUCGAGAUCUUCAUUCGUGGUUGCUGUUGUUGCUCUUCAUUGAGUGUCAAUGGUGCCUCGAGAUUUUACUUUGAAAAAAUUAGAGUGCUCAAAGCAGGUUGUGAUGCCUGAAUAAUGGUGCAUGGAAUAAUAGAAUACGAUCUCGGUUCUAUUUUGUUGGUUUUCGAACCGGAGAUAAUGAUUGAAAGGAACAGACGGGGGCAUUCGUAUUGCUGCGUUAGAGGUGAAAUUCUUGGAUCGCAGCAAGAUGAACAAUUGCGAAAGCAUUUGCCAAGAAUGUUUUCAUUAAUCAAGAACGAAAGUUAGAGGUUCGAAGGCGAUCAGAUACCGCCCUAGUUCUAACGGUAAACUAUGCCAACCAGCGAUUCGCCGAAGUUCAUUUAAGACUCGGCGAGCAGCUUCCGGGAAACCAAAGUGUUUCGGUUCCGGGGGAAGUAUGGUUGCAAAGCUGAAACUUAAAGGAAUUGACGGAAGGGCACCACCAGGAGUGGAGCCUGCGGCUUAAUUUGACCCAACACGGGAAAACUCACCCGGCCCGGACACUGGAAGGAUUGACAGAUUGACAGCUCUUUCUUGAUUCAGUGGGUAGUGGUGCAUGGCCGUUCUUAGUUGGUGGAGCGAUUUGUCUGGUUAAUUCCGAUAACGAACGAGACUCUACCCUAUUAAAUAGUGACAGUAUUGUAUUUUUUGUGCUGAUCACUUCUUAGAGGGACUGGCAAAUUGAAAGCUGCACGAAAAAGAGCAAUAACAGGUCUGUGAUGCCCUUCGAUGUCCGGGGCUGCACGCGCGCUACAAUGAAAGCGUCAACGUGAGUUACGUCCUUACCUGAAAAGGUUUGGCAAUCGAAUGAAACGUUUUCUUGAAUGGAAUAGGGAAUUGCAAUUGUUUCCCUUGAACGAGGAAUUCCCAGUAAGCGUGAGUCAUUAGCUCGCGUUGAUUACGUCCCUGCCCUUUGUACACACCGCCCGUCGCUACUACCGAUUGGAUGAUUUAGUGAGGUGUUUUGACUGGCGCCAGUAGUCGGAUGUAUUCGGCUUCGCGCCGGGAAAUUUCCCAAACCAAAUCAUCUAGAGGAAGUAAAAGUCGUAACAAGGUUUCCGUAGGUGAACCUGCGGAAG
rnacentral:rRNA from 1 species